GCUUAGAGUUUGAUCCUGGCUCAGGAUGAACGCUGGCGGCGUGCCUAACACAUGCAAGUCGAACGAAGUUUUCGAACUUAGUGGCGGACGGGUGAGUAACGCGUGAGGAUCUGGCCUUAGGUGGGGGAUAACAGUUGGAAACGGCUGCUAAUACCGCAUGUGGCGAGAGCUGAAAGAUUAAUUGCCUGAGGAUGAACUCGCGUCUGAUUAGCUAGUUGGUGGGGUAAGGGCCUACCAAGGCAACGAUCAGUAGCUGGUCUGAGAGGAUGAUCAGCCACACUGGGACUGAGACACGGCCCAGACUCCUACGGGAGGCAGCAGUGGGGAAUUUUCCGCAAUGGGGGGAACCCUGACGGAGCAACGCCGCGUGCGGGAGGACGGCCUGUGGGUUGUAAACCGCUUUUCUCUGGGAAGAAGUUCUGACGGUACCAGAGGAAUCAGCAUCGACUAACUCCGUGCCAGCAGCCGCGGUAAGACGGAGGAUGCAAGCGUUAUCCGGAAUUAUUGGGCGUAAAGCGUCCGUAGGCGGUUUAUCAAGUCAGUUGUUAAAGACUGCAGCUCAACUGUGGGAGAGCAACUGAAACUGAUGAACUAGAGUGCGGUAGGGGUAGAGGGAAUUCCCAGUGUAGCGGUGAAAUGCGUAGAUAUUGGGAAGAACACCAGUGGCGAAGGCGCUCUACUGGGCCGCAACUGACGCUGAGGGACGAAAGCUAGGGGAGCGAAAGGGAUUAGAUACCCCUGUAGUC
rnacentral:rRNA from 1 species